rnacentral:rRNA from 1 species
GAUGAACGCUGGCGGCGUGCCUAAUACAUGCAAGUCGAGCGAACAGAUGAGGAGCUUGCUCCUUUGACGUUAGCGGCGGACGGGUGAGUAACACGUAGGUAACCUACCUAUAAGACUGGGAUAACUUCGUGAAACCGGAGCUAAUACCGGAUAAUAUUUCGAACUGCAUGGUUCGAUAGUGAAAGAUGGCUUUGCUAUCACUUAUAGAUGUACCUGCGCCGUAUUAGCUAGUUGGUAAGGUAACGGCUUACCAAGGCAACGAUACGUAGCCGACCUGAGAGGGUGAUCGGCCACACUGGAACUGAGACACGGUCCAGACUCCUACGGGAGGCAGCAGUAGGGAAUAUUGGGCAAUGGGCGAAAGCCUGACGCAGCAACGCCGCGUGAGUGAUGAAGGUCUUCGGAUCGUAAAACUCUGUUAUUAGGGAAGAACAACAGUGUAAGUAACUGUGCACGUCUUGACGGUACCUAAUCAGAAAGCAACGGCUAACUACGUG